rnacentral:rRNA from 1 species
GGGCCCGCACAAGCGGUGGAGUAUGUGGUUUAAUUCGAUGCAACGCGAAGAACCUUACCAGGGUUUGACAUCCUGCGAAUCUCUUGGAAACGAGAGAGUGCCUUCGGGAGCGCAGUGACAGGUGGUGCAUGGCUGUCGUCAGCUCGUGUCGUGAGAUGUUGGGUUAAGUCCCGCAACGAGCGCAACCCACGUCUUUAGUUGCCAGCAUUUAGUUGGGCACUCUAGAGAGACCGCCGGUGAUAAACCGGAGGAAGGUGUGGAUGACGUCAAGUCAUCAUGCCCCUUACAUCCUGGGCUACACACGUACUACAAUGCUACGGACAAAGAGCAGCAAGUUCGCGAGGACAAGCAAAUCUCAUAAACCGUGGCUCAGUUCAGAUCGUAGGCUGCAACUCGACUUCGUGAAGUCGGAAUCGCUAGUAAUCGCGAAUC